UAAGAAUAUUCAUUUUUGUGGGAAACCGGGUCCAUCAGCUGGGAAAUGACUUGGCCAUAGCCACACAAAGAAUCUGAAGACAGAGGGAAGAUGGGAAUCCAGAUGCCUUGUUUCCCAGACAACUGCAGCGUCCCUGCAGCAUGCAAGCUGCCUUGGCAACCCCAGUCUUAGGCUCAGAAUCUAGGAAACGGCCUGAGGAUUCCAGGGUGAUCAUCCAGCUCCCACGCCUCAGAA